UACGAAGGGGGCUAGCGUUGUUCGGAAUUACUGGGCGUAAAGGGCGCGUAGGCGGGAUGGCAAGUCAGUCGUGAAAUCUCUCGGCUCAACCGAGAAACGUCGGCUGAUACUGCCGUUCUUGAGGGAUGCAGAGGAGACUGGAAUUCCCGGUGUAGCGGUGAAAUGUGUAGAGAUCGGGAGGAACACCGGUGGCGAAGGCGGGUCUCUGGGCAUUUCCUGACGCUGAGGCGCGAAAGCGUGGGGAGCAAACGGG
rnacentral:rRNA from 1 species